AACCUCUCAUUCCCUUUCUCAUCAGCUCUGAACACUGGUCUUGGUGUUGGCAAAAGAAGGACAAAUUAUACUGAAGUUGACCUCAAAGUUUUGCAGUUUGGUACAUAGUAUGUGAGCUAAUUUCAAGCAGGG
rnacentral:snoRNA from 17 species